UACGGAGGGUGCAAGCGUUAUCCGGAUUCACUGGGUUUAAAGGGUGCGUAGGUGGGCUAGUAAGUCCGUGGUGAAAUCUCCAAGCUUAACUUGGAAACUGCCGUGGAUACUAUUAGUCUUGAAUAUUGUGGAGGUAAGCGGAAUAUGUCAUGUAGCGGUGAAAUUCUUAGAUAUGACAUAGAACACCGAUAGCGAAGGCAGCUUGCUACACAAUCAUUGACACUGAGGCACGAAAGCGUGGGGAGCAAACAGG
rnacentral:rRNA from 1 species